CCCCACUAUGCCUAGCCGUAAACAAAAACAGUACAAAUACAAUAUUGUUCGCCAGAGAACUACAAGCAAAAACUCAAAACUCCAAGGACUUGGCGGUGCUCCACAUCACCCUAGAGGAGCCUGUCCUAUAAUCGAUACCCCCCGAUCAACCUCACCAUUUUUUGAAAUUCAGCCUAUAUACCGCCGUCGCCAGCCUACCUUAUGAAAGAACCAAAGUAGGCAAAAUAGUCACCAACUAAAACGUCAGGUCAAGGUGUAGCAUAUGAAAUGGAAGAGAUGGGCUACACUCUCUGACCCAGAGAAAACAAACAGCACAAUGAAACAUCUGCUUAAAGGUGGAUUUAGUAGUAAGACAGGCAAGAGAGCCUCUCUAAAUAGCCCUGGAGCGCGCACACACC
rnacentral:rRNA from 1 species